CAUUACAUCACUGUUUAGAAAGAAUCAACUUAUUGUAUGUAUACAUUUGACUGGAAUUUGGAGUGAAAUAAUGCUGAAACCAACUGUUUUAAAAUAAACAACGUAAUUGGCUUGUCACAAGAAAUGUAUGUAAAUGUAUAGACCACAAAUUACAGUAGAAGGCACGUGUCAUUGUAGUAUUGUGUUUCUCACCUGUCCUGAUCUCGCUGUAUCACUUUGUAGCCGAAGGCUAUGUUUUGGGGUUGGGUAAAAUCUUUCCAUGGAUUUGGAUCAAUGUUGAAAGCCAACACUGUCUGAGAUACUAAAAUAAAAAUAAUUUUAAAUAAUUAAAAAAAAAACAGGAUACAUUACCUUUAAUAGUAAACAAAAUUAUUUAUGUAUUACUUAGAUGACAAUUAACAUUGAGUAUAUGAAUUUUAUUAUUAUUUAAAUUUGAAAGAACGUAAGUAUUCAGAGUUGAGUUAAACAUACAUUUGAUCUUUAAUAGUCUGAAUGCUAUUGAUGUGUAAAAACUGGCUAAUGCAUGCUCAAUUCAUAAAUUUAGCACUGAAUUUUCCUCCAGGUGGAAUGGCCUCUUCUAGAAUGACUCGACUCCAUCCACAGGGCCUGAGGGCUUACUGAACAACUUGAUGAGGAUGAAAUUGUAUAGACCAUCAGAGUCAUCAUCAAAACACAAAAUAAGAAAAUAUCUUUUGGAAAACAUGUCCAGUACAAUAAAAGGGACAUUUAGUACUGGUGCCAAUACCUUAAUAUCAUGCAUCAACAGGCAUGCUGUGGAAGCAGAGGCAUGGCCAGGAACACUAUAAUCCAACGGCCGGGCAUUUGCAGCAAUGUUGGCUAGUGGUGUGCAGCAUGUCACAAAUGGCAAUUGGUGAAUCCAUCAGCCACCCCAAAAGUGCCACUACACCCAUUACCGGCAUCCAGACAUUGUACCAGCUCCGAUCGUCUUCCGUGCGAUGAAGAUUUUGAGAUGAGGCCGACUCUGUGCGAAUCCUGAGACAUCUACAGAUCUACCAGCUCCAGUUGGACUCUGUGAUCCUAAAGAGGAGAUCUGAACUCCAUCCCCAGCAGCUCAUGGACAGAAUCCUCUGGAUCAUGGGCAGGAGCACCCCACAUUGACAAGACCACAGAUACACCCUAGACCUAAGAUCAAAAUGGGGUGCAACAGUUCCUGGGGCUGGCUGGCUAUUAUACUUCAUAUCAUAUGUUCAUACCUAACUAUUUGGAGGUCACAAGCCCACUGACUGAUCUAGCUAAAAAGGAAGCACCAGACAUGAUCCAGUGGAUAGAGCCAUGUCAGCAGACUUUCACUAAGACUGAACAGACAUGGCUGCUGGCCAUGUUGUCCCAGGUGGUGGAGGGGAGGAGUACCCUGUGCUGUAUAUUAGUCACAAACUAUUGGUGAGGGAAACUAAACACAGCAACAGAGAAGGAGUGCCUGGCCAUCAAGUAGGUUGUCCUUACUCUCCUUCACCCUCUGUUUGGACCACCCCUUGCUCCAGUGGCUCCAACACAUGAAGGAUGCCAACAUGAGGAUCGUUGGUAUCUAUCUAUACAGCCUUUUAACUUCCAGUUCCACAGGCCCAGUGCACAUCCCAGACCAUUAUGAAUCCCACAGUUAGACAUGAGCAUAAAUCCAUCCAAAUCCAUCCAGGAAAGAUCAUAUACCAAGAGUUUCUGAAUGGUAGCUUUGACAUUGAUUCUAGCUUUGAAGGUUGUGUGUCUGUGACACUUUGUGUUUUUUUUCAGUAAUACAUAAUACGUUUGUUUAUAUUCCUGAAGCUUUUAUCCAAAGUGAGUAACAUUUGAGACUUACAUACAUAAAGGCAGACGCCCUUAUCUACAACAACAGAAGAAUAAUGACAAUUGUAUUUGGCCUUUUUAAAAUCUCACUAUGUUACUAAUAACCUAAUAAUAUAACUAACCAGUGCAUCUGUGUUUGUAUUUUAAUCUAAGGCCCUUAUUUUGCCUACUCACUGUAUAUUCACUUUCUCUCACACUAACACACAAACUCGUAUAUAUCUUCCAUUAAGAAAUUUCUUUUCUGCCUCUGUUUCACAUGAGACAAAUAUAUUUACUCUAAUGUACAUACAAAUGCCCUUUACACUUAAAAGUAAAGUUUUUUAGUUCAAGGUGCAUUCAUGUCACUUUCAUUAAUAACUUAAAUCUUCACCUCAAAAUCGAACUGGUAUGAAAAGUACAAACAAUUAAAAAGCAUAUCGUACAUCGUCUCUUCCGGAUAAGAUGACCUCUAACGCUUUAAAAACGCUUUAUUAAUAACGCUUUAUUAAUAAACACUUCAAAACAUUUGAGUGUAACAGUUAAGCAGGAAUUUUAAAAUGAAGGUUAAAGUGUACGCUUAAUGGACACCUUAUUAAACCCUUCUAUUCCCAUAGAAUGGUCUGUGACAAUUAGCCUGUUUGACUUCCUUAUUGUCCUUAAUGUGGCUGUUAAUACAUAAGACCUGCAAUAGUGAUAGUAGAGAUCAUAAUGGACAAGAAUCUGAAUACAUUUAUUCGAAAUAGAGUUGAUAGAAGAUAGAAGUGAUGAAGACACCUAGUCUGAUCUUACCAGAAAUCAGGAAAAUGUACAAUGCAAGAUUCCAGUCCAUAUUCUAUCCUGUCAUCAGAUUCAGAAUGACUGGGUAGGUGAAAAGAGUAAAGUUGAGGAAAUAGAAACAGAAGAAGUGUUUUGAAAAUGUAUUGCACACUCGAUGUAGUAAGCCUUGCACACCACUGUGGGAGUGGCAUAAAUUGCUUAGAGGAAAUCAGUGCACAGAUGGCUGUGAGGGACCUCCUAUCCCACCAAAGGGCGAAGUCAGCUGCAGGCCAGACAGCUUGUGGGUAUACGGAAAGCAGAGGCGUUUGUGAAUGGAAGGCAGAGUCAACCAGAACAACUGUUAGAGUCCACACACCUGUGAUUAAUCACACUAAUGAUUUGCUCUUUCUUUCGGUGAACUCGGGCAAAAAGAGAAUAACAGAAAAAAGAGGGAAGACAAAAUAGAGCAAAAGAGAGAGAGGAAAAACGUGCUGCUGAGUUUUGUGUGUGAUGAACGUGUGUGUGCUCCGUAAAACACUGAACCUGAAAGCAAAAUAAAGCUAUUUUGGUUGAAUACUUGGUUGAAUACUGUGGUGGUGGUGUGCUGUGGCCCAACAGGAA